UACAGAGGUCUCAAGCGUUGUUCGGAUUCAUUGGGCGUAAAGGGUGCGUAGGUGGCGCGCUAAGUCAGGUGUGAAAUUUCGGAGCUUAACUCCGAAACUGCAUUUGAUACUGGCGUGCUUGAGGACUGGAGAGGAGACUGGAAUUCAUGGUGUAGCAGUGAAAUGCGUAGAGAUCAUGAGGAAGACCAGUGGCGAAGGCGGGUCUCUGGACAGUUCCUGACACUGAGGCAACGAAGGCCAGGGGAGCAAACGGG
rnacentral:rRNA from 1 species